CUGGAGGAUGUCUGUGUCUGAUGGAGUGUCAAUUAUGGUGCCCAGUUUGCAGUCAUCUGCAAAUUUUGUCAGCCACAAUCCCCCUAUGUUUGCCUGCACUUCAGAAAAAUAAAUGCCGAAAAAGAGGGGGCCCAGGACUGAGCCCUGUGGGAUACCU